rnacentral:rRNA from 1 species
GUGAGGAAUCUUGCGCAAUGGGGGAAACCCUGACGCAGCGACGCCGCGUGGAGGACGAAGGCCUUCGGGUCGUAAACUCCUGUCAAGUGGGACGAAUGCCGGGGGAGUGAACACCUCUCCCGGUUGACGGUACCGCUGGAGGAAGCCCCGGCUAACUCCGUGCCAGCAGCCGCGGUAAUACGGAGGGGGCCAGCGUUGUUCGGAAUCAUUGGGCGUAAAGGGCGCGUAGGCGGCCCUGCAAGUCAGACGUGUAAGCCCAUGGCUCAACUGUGGAAUUGCGUUUGAAACUGCAGGGCUUGAGUCCCGGAGAGGGUAGUGGAAUUCCCAGUGUAGCGGUGAAAUGCGUAGAUAUUGGGAGGAACACCGGUGGCGAAGGCGGCUACCUGGACGGGUACUGACGCUGAGGCGCGAAAGCGUGGGGAGCAAACAGGAUUAGAAACCCCGGUAGUCC